UACGUAGGGUGCGAGCGUUGUCCGGAAUUAUUGGGCGUAAAGAGCUUGUAGGCGGUUUGUCGCGUCUGCUGUGAAAAUCCGGGGCUCAACCCCGGACUUGCAGUGGGUACGGGCAGACUAGAGUGUGGUAGGGGAGACUGGAAUUCCUGGUGUAGCGGUGAAAUGCGCAGAUAUCAGGAGGAACACCGAUGGCGAAGGCGGAUCUCCUGGGGCC
rnacentral:rRNA from 1 species